rnacentral:rRNA from 1 species
UACGGAGGGUGCAAGCGUUAUCCGGAUUUAUUGGGUUUAAAGGGUACGUAGGCGGCCAGAUAAGUCAGUGGUGAAAGUCAGCAGCUUAACUGUUGAACUGCCAUUGAUACUGCUUGGCUUGAGUGCAGUUGAGGUGGGUGGAAUUCCAUGUGUAACGGUGAAAUGCUUAGAUAUAUGGAGGAACACCGAUAACGAAGGUAACUCACUAAACUGUAACUGACGCUGAGGUACGAAAGCGUGGGGAGCAAACGGG